AUUAUUAUUAUUUCCACGGUUUUGUUCCAUAAAAAAAGGUUCAUCUUGGUGGUUGAUUCAGCUGUCGCUGCUGAAGGAAAUGCAUUCAAGGGCACCGUUGAGAAAUUGGUGAGGCUGCAUGAAAUUUGUGAUAUUAGUGUAGUCAACACAUGCCAGGGUCUCUUACUUUUCCAAAGUAAAUGGACCGUUAGACUGCAACAUGAUUUUGCCGACUCUAGAUGCUGUGACAAGUAACGACAGCAUUGAUGCCGUUGAAACUUCUGAUAGGCCAUGAAGAUAUUUGCCGGCAGUCAAUGAAUAUCGAUUAGUUAGCAGCAAAUUGAAGAGUAGUGGAUAUAUCCAAACCCUAUUUGCCGGCAGUCAAUGAAUAUCAAUUAGUUAGCAGCAAAUUGAAGAGUAGUGCAUAUAUCCAAACCCUGCUUGCAAACUUGUGCUUGGAUAUUAAUACUCAAUAUAUUUUUGGUAUCUAACUGCAUUUCAGACAUUCAUUGCAUACAGAGUGUUAAGAAGUUUCCAUUCCACUUGUUAAAAAUUUCCAGAUUUUGAUGGGUGCAUACCGAAAUCAUAGAAAAUCUUAUAGAGAUGUAAAUUGUUAUAA